rnacentral:lncRNA from 1 species
AGCAUCCACUUAAAAGUAAAAAGCUAACUCAAACCACCACCCAACGGCACUUUUGUUUCUCAAACUACACUCCAUACCUCCACAUACAAGUUACUCAAUGCCCUAGUGAAUCAGUGAUCAUCAAGAGUAUAUUAUAUAGGACGCAACAAAAUGUUACUCAUUACACUUUUCAACAUCCAACAGUUCGUGCAAAACAAAAGACAGCAAAAAUGCAGCAUGCUGAAAUCUUUGCAGUUAUAUAUAUGACAAGUAUCUAACCCAGCAUUAGAAGCAGCUCUUUCUUAAUGUGUAUGUUAGUCGGGGACUGUGUAGACACAGGAAUAACUUGCAUUUGGGAUGUACAACCAAAAUACUUCGCCACAAAAAAUAUAAUUAAUCAGCAGCUUUAGGUCCUUCCUUUGCCAUGCAUCCAUCUCUUGACCAGCAAAAGAUUCUUCCAAGAUUCAAAUGAUAUGCCGAUUACUCCUGUUCGGGCUACUUUCUCGCCAGGAUUCUCUACAUGCUUGCCAUAUGCAUAACAUCGGUUCCAUUUCCUUCCAAUUUGAGAAAUCACCAAAGACUUCUAAAUUAAAAUGUAGAAAACCUAAAAAACAAUGAGCAAAUAACAACCUCGUUCUUCAAGCCAUCGUAUACUCAUUGAUUUUCUAUUUGUGAAAGUACAUCAACAAAUGUUUAGAAAUUAUUAAGAAAACUACAGAAAUUGUUGGCUGAAUGAAAGACCUAUUUUGUCUCCAUGAAGGGACAAGCAGUGAGUUUAGACUUACAAUCAACCGAAUCUCCAAGGUAACAUGAUGGAGAAGUCAACUGUAAGAUAUUCAAAAGAUCAAAGGCAGUACCCUUGCAUG